rnacentral:rRNA from 1 species
AUUGAACGCUGGCGGCAGGCUUAACACACGCAAGUCGAGCGGAGAUGAGGUGCUUGCACCUUAUCUUAGCGGCGGACGGGUGAGUAAUGCUUAGGAAUCUGCCUAUUAGUGGGGGACAACAUUCCGAAAGGAAUGCUAAUACCGCAUACGUCCUACGGGAGAAAGCAGGGGAUCUUCGGACCUUGCGCUAAUAGAUGAGCCUAAGUCGGAUUAGCUAGUUGGUGGGGUAAAGGCCUACCAAGGCGACGAUCUGUAGCGGGUCUGAGAGGAUGAUCCGCCACACUGGGACUGAGACACGGCCCAGAAUCCUACGGGAGGCAGCAGUGGGGAAGAUUGGACAAUGGGGGGAACCCUGAUCCAGCCAUGCCGCGUGUGUGAAGAAGGCCUUAUGGUUGUAAAGCACUUUAAGCGAGGAGGAGGCUACUGAGACUAAUACUCUUGGAUAGUGGACGUUACUCGCAGAAUAAGCACCGGCUAACUCUGUGCCAGCCGCCGCCGUAA